rnacentral:rRNA from 1 species
GACGAACGCUGGCGGCGUGCUUAACACAUGCAAGUCGAACGGAAAGUGCCCAGCUUGCUGGGUGACUCGAGUGGCGAACGGGUGAGUAACACGUGGGUGAUCUGCCCUGCACUUUGGGAUAAGCCUGGGAAACUGGGUCUAAUACCGAAUACACCUUGCUGGUCGCAUGGCCUGGUGGGGGAAAGCUUUUGCGGUGUGGGAUGGGCCCGCGGCCUAUCAGCUUGUUGGGGGGUGAUGGCCUACCAAGGCGACGACGGGUAGCCGGCCUGAGAGGGUGUCCGGCCACACUGGGACUGAGAUACGGCCCAGACUCCUACGGGAGGCAGCAGUGGGGAAUAUUGCGCAAUGGGCGAAAGCCUGACGCAGCGACGCCGCGUGAGGGAUGAAGGCCUUCGGGUCGUAACCGU